rnacentral:rRNA from 1 species
GAUGAACGCUGGCGGCGUGCCUAAUACAUGCAAGUCGAGCGAACAGAUGAUGAGCUUGCUCCUCUGCCGUUAGCGGCGGACGGGUGAGUAACACGUGGAUAACCUACCUAUAAGACUGGGAUAACUUCGGGAAACCGGAGCUAAUACCGGAUACUUUAUUGAACCGCAUGGUUCAAUAGUGAAAGACGGUUUUGCUGUCACUUAUAGAUGGAUCCGCGCCGCAUUAGCUAGUUGGUAAGGUAACGGCUUACCAAGGCAACGAUGCGUAGCCGACCUGAGAGGGUGAUCGGCCACACUGGAACUGAGACACGGUCCAGACUCCUACGGGAGGCAGCAGUAGGGAAUCUUCCGCAAUGGGCGCAAGCCUGACGGAGCAACGCCGCGUGAGUGAUGAAGGUCUUCGGAUCGUAAAACUCUGUUAUUAGGGAAGAAAAAAUGUGUAAGUAACUAUGCCCGUCUUGACGGUACCUAAUCAGAAAGCCACGGCUAACUACGUG